ensembl:lncRNA
GGCUUUAAAUGCAUAAGAGCUUGGGGACCGCUGUCGUGUACUAAAAAGACAGGAAUUUGUCUUAAAGCUUUUAUUUGCAUAGGUCACAAUUUUUCAAAACUGUUGUGUGUUAUGUGCUAAGUCACUUCAGUCGUGGCCGACUUUUUGCGACCCUGUGGACUGUAGCCCACCAGGCUCCUCUGUCCAUGGGAUUUUCCAGGGAAGAAUUGUGGAGUGGGUUGCCAUACCCUCCUCCAGGGGAUCUUCCCAACCCAGGGAUUGAACCCAUGUCUCUUACGUCUCCUGCACUGGCAGCCCACCCUGCCUAAAAGCUUCUAACUGCUCCAGAGGUUUCUUCCCUGGACACAGUCUGAAGGUGGGAUUCUUGUGAAUGGCGUGUGUGUAUAUGCUGAGGCCUGGUGAGCCACAGGGCACUGGACUUCCUGGUGUGACCAGUUCAGACCAGCGAGUAGUGACGGGUGUCGCUUCUGGGCUGGAGCAUUUGAUUGCUUGUGUGAGUCCCUCGGGAGUUCUCUCUGUCCGCUGAGGCGAGUGUGGAAGCACAGCACAAUAAAUUCGUGACAAAAAGAAAUCCCUGGAGCCUGAUAAAGCAGCCUAACCCGGGAAACACUUCCUGGCUAUUGUAACUGAGCCCUGCAACUCCUGUCUCUCUUUCAUUGACUGCCCUGUGCCCAGCUCUCCCAGCAGAAGGGAACACACGGAAGGACUAGCAGUGUUGCUGUGGGGCUGUGUCUUUGUCUCGUCUGCUCUGUGAGACGCUUAAUUCUCAAGCACAGUGCUUGGUGCUCAGUGAUAGCCCCUGCUCACCGCAACUAGAGAAAACCUGCAUGCAGCCAUGAAGACCAAGCGCAGCUAAAAAUGAACAAUGAUUUUUUAAAAAAGACAUUAAAAAAUAU